GCUACAGUCAUUGGGGAGUAGCCUGUUCCAGAAAAUCGCUGGAAUAUUCGUAUCAACAUGCUCGUUUGAAAUAAAACGUGGUACGAAUGCCUAAAGAACCUAUACGGGU
rnacentral:sRNA from 1 species